rnacentral:lncRNA from 1 species
GUCUCCAUGAACUCAGACUCAAGUCCGGCAAUGAACCCACAGAGAACGUGGACAGACGCAAAGGCAGGCAGGACCACAAAGCCAAUGAGCUUCCGGAACCAGGCGUCCUGUAGCUCAGGGGCAGCAUCCUCCAGGGGCGACGUGUCCUCCCACACCAGCUGGAUCAGCUGGCAGUCUGGCUCCCAGAAGGGCUCCUCAAACUCCAGGAAGAUUUUGUUGUUGGUCCCAAAGCCUAUCUUCCUGAUUGCUUCUGCCUUCUCAGCCGGCAGGGGAGGGUCAAAGAAGGUGUCCAAAUGUUC